rnacentral:rRNA from 1 species
ACGAACGCUGGCGGCGUGCCUAAUACAUGCAAGUCGUGCGGACCUUGUUGAAAGCUUGCUUUUAAAAGGUUAGCGGCGGACGGGUGAGUAACACGUGGGCAACCUGCCUGUAAGACUGGGAUAACGCCGGGAAACCGGGGCUAAUACCAGAUCGUUUUUUCCUCCGCAUGGAGGAAAAAGGAAAGGCGGCUUCGGCUGCCACUUACAGAUGGGCCCGCGGCGCAUUAGCUAGUUGGCGGGGUAAUGGCCCACCAAGGCAACGAUGCGUAGCCGACCUGAGAGGGUGAUCGGCCACAUUGGGACUGAGACACGGCCCAAACUCCUACGGGAGGCAGCAGUAGGGAAUCUUCCGCAAGGGACGAAAGUCUGACGGAGCAACGCCGCGUGAGGGAAGAAGGCCGUCGGGUCGUAAAACUCUGUUGCCGGGGAAGAACAAGUGCCGUUCGAACAGGGCGGCGCCUUGACGGUACCCGGCCAGAAAGCCACGGCUAACUACGUG